ACGCUCGACACCUACGGGAGGCGCAGUGAGGAAUAUUGGUCAAUGGGCGCUAGCCUGAACCAGCCAAGUAGCGUGAAGGAUGAAGGCUCUAUGGGUCGUAAACUUCUUUUAUAUAAGAAUAAAGUGCAGUAUGUAUACUGUUUUGUAUGUAUUAUAUGAAUAAGGAUCGGCUAACUCCGUGUCCAGCAGCCGCGGUAAUCUGAGGCGGCGUGGCAAGGC
rnacentral:rRNA from 1 species